rnacentral:lncRNA from 1 species
CUGGAGUUAUGGCUAUAUUUAGGAUUAGGCUUUGGUCUAGGGCUACUGUUAGGGUUAGGUUUAGGUAUAAGUUUACUCGUAGGGCUAGUUUUAUUGUUUGGUUCAGGGUUAGGGUCAGUUUUAGACUGAGAGUUUGUGUUAGGGUAAGGAUUUGAGUUAGGGUUAGAGCUAGAAUGAGGGCUAGAGUUAGGACUAGUAAUAGGGUUAGGGUUUGGAUUAGGCUAUGGAUUAGGAUGAGGACUAAGGUUAGCAUUAUGGAUAGGUUUGGCUUAGGGUAAGUGAUAGAGUUAGAGCUAAGGUUAGGGCUAGGUUUAAGGUUAGGGUUAGGACUAAGGCUAGGUUUAGGUUUAGGUUUACUUCUAGGGUUAGGGCUCAGAUUCAGGCUAGUUUUUCUAUUAGGUUUAGGUCUAGGGUUAGGGCUAUAGCUAAUAUAGGAACUAAGGUUAUGAUUAGAGUUAGUAUUUGGUCUAGAUCUAGUGUUCGUCUUAUCUUUAGGGUUAGUGUGAUAUUUAGAAUUAAGGUUAGUGUUAGAAUAUAAGUCACGGUCAGGGUUAAUUUUAGGACUAGGACAUGAAUUAGAGCUAGAAGGUUAUGGCAAGGCUGAGAGUUAGGGUUUGGAUUAGGUUAAAAUUUAGGGUUAGGACAAUGGCUCAGUUUUGUUUAAGGAAUAAGGUUAGGUUUAUGGCUAGUUUUAGUAUUAGCGAUAGUGUUAGGUCUAGUGGUAGGUUGAGGAUUAGACUUAGGGUUAGAGUCAAAUGUAGAGUUAUGGUUCGAUCUAGGGUAGGUUCUAUGGUUAGGGUCAGGGCUAAGGAUAGAGAUUGUGUUAGGUUUGUUGUAAUCAAUAGGUUUAGAACUAGAAAUAGAGCUGGGGAAAGUUAGAGUUAGUCUUAGGCCAAGGUUAGGGGUAGUGUUAGUGUUAGGGCUAAAUUAGGGCUAGGAUUAGUGCUAGGGUUAGUGUUAGGAUUAGGCCUAUGGUUAGGGCUAGAGAUAUGGUUAGUGUUAGGGUUAGAGUUAGUGAUAGGGUUAGGGGAAAGGAUGGGUUUAUACCUAAGUUCAGGUCUAGGGCGUGGGUUAAAAUUAAAGAUAGGGCUAGAGUUGGGGUUUGGGUUAGGAUUAAGGCUAGGUAAGCUAAGAUGAGGACUAGUGUUUUUGUCAGGGUUAGGGCUAGGAUUAGGACUGGGGCUAAUGUCAGGUCUGGGUUUAUGGUUAUGGUUAGUAUUAGGGUUAGGUUAUGGCUAAGUCUAGUGUAAGGUUUAGGUUUAGGUUAAGUGGCAGGUUUAAAGCUAGGUGUAUUAUUAGAGUUGGGGUUCAAGUGGGGUUUUGUUUAGGUUAAAAUUCAGGGUUAAGGCUUGAUAGCAUUAGGGAUAGGGUUAGGGUUUGGGUUAGGGUAAUAUAUAGGGUAAGGUUUAGGGUUCAGGUUAGUUUUAAAGUAAUAAAUAGGGUUAGUGUUACCAAUAGUGAUAGCAUUAGCUCUAGGGUUAGCAUUUGGGUUAGGCUUAUCUUUAGGGUAAUGCAUAGGUUUAGAACUAAGGUUAGGGCUAGAGUUAAGGUUAGAAUUAGGACUAGGGUUAGGGUACUGUCUAGGGUAAUUGAUAGGGUUAGGUUUAGGGUUUCAGGUUAGGUUUAGAGAAAUGAAUAGUGUUAGUGUUAGCAAUAGUUUUUUAAGGCUAGGGCAAUAGUGUUAGCAUUAGGCCUAGGGUUAGCAUUUGGGUUAGGCUUAUCUUCAGGGUAAUGGAUAGGGUUAGAGCUAAGGUUAGGGCUGGAGUUAAGGUUAGAAUUAGGACUAGGGUUAGGUUAAGGCCUAAGCUAUGUCAGGGUUUGGUUUGGGGUAAGUGUUAGCGUUUGAGCUAGGAUUAGGCUAGCUUGAGUGUUAAGGUUAGAGUGAGGGAUAAUGUUAGGGAUAGGGUUAUGUUUAGAUUAAGGUUGGAGUUUGAGCUGGAAUUAGGUUUAGGGUGAGGUUUAGGGUUAGGGUUAUGUCUAGGCUUAUGGUUAGGGAUACAAUAAUGGUAGGUUUAGGGCUAGGAUAAGGUCAAUGUUUUGUGUGAGGUUUAUGGCUAUCAUUAGGGCUAUGGGUAAUUUAAGAGCUAGGAAUAUGGUUAUGGCUAGUUUUAGGGUUAGAGUUAUGGAUAAGUCUAGUGUUCUAGUUAGGAUUUGGGUUAGGAUAAGAUUUAGAGCUAGGGUUUUUUUAGGGUAACUGUCAUUGUCAGGUUAGGGCUAGGUUUAAGGUGAGGGCCAGAUUUAG